AAUGAACGCUGGCGGCAGGCCUAACACAUGCAAGUCGAACGGAUCCUCCGGGAUUAGUGGCGGACGGGUGAGUAACGCGUGGGAACAUACCCUUUGGUACGGAAUAGCCUCGGGAAACUGGGAGUAAUACCGUAUGUGGUCGAGAGACGAAAGAUUUAUCGCCAAAGGAUUGGCCCGCGUUGGAUUAGGUAGUUGGUGGGGUAAUGGCCUACCAAGCCGACGAUCCAUAGCUGGUUUGAGAGGAUGAUCAGCCACACUGGGACUGAGACACGGCCCAGACUCUACGGGAGGCAGCAGUGGGGAAUCUUAGACAAUGGGGGAAACCCUGAUCUAGCCAUGCCGCGUGAUCGAUGAAGGCCUUAGGGUUGUAAAGAUCUUUCAGGUGGGAAGAUAAUGACUGUACCACCAGAAGAAGCCCCGGCUAACUCCGUGCCAGCAGCCGCCGUAA
rnacentral:rRNA from 1 species